rnacentral:rRNA from 1 species
AGGGUUUGAUCAUGGCUCAGGAUAAACGCUGGCGGCGUGCUUCAGGCAUGCAAGUCGAACGAGCGACCUCAGCUUGCUGAGGAAGCUAGUGGCGGACGGGUGAGUAACACGUAAGCAACCUGCCCAAAAGUGGGGAAUGACCCACCGAAAGUGAGCUAAUACCGCAUGUGAUGAUUCUUCCCUGGAAGACUCAUUAAAGGAUUUAUUCGCUUUUGGAGGGGCUUGCGGCCGAUUAGCUAGUUGGUGGGGUAAUGGCCUACCAAGGCGACGAUCGGUAGCUGGUCUGAGAGGACGGACAGCCACACGGGGACUGAGAUACGGCCCCGACUCCUACGGGAGGCAGCAGCUAGGAAUCUUGGGAAUGGGCGAAAGCCUGACCCAGCAACGCCGCGUGGGCGAUGAAGGCCUUCGGGUCGUAAAGCCCUUUUGUGGGGGACGAUAAUGACGGUACCCCACGAAUAAGCCACGGCUAACUACGUGCCAGCAGCCGCGGUAAUACGUAGGUGGCAAGCGUUGUCCGGAUUUACUGGGCGUAAAGGGCGUGCAGGCGGUUUGUUAAGUCUAGGGUGAAAGCUCCCGGCUCAACUGGGAGAGGUCCUUGGAUACUGGCGAACUUGAGGGAUGCAGAGGAAAGUGGAAUUCCCGGUGUAGUGGUGAUAUGCGUAGAUAUCGGGAGGAACACCAGUGGCGAAGGCGGCUUUCUGGGCAUUUCCUGACGCUGAGACGCGAAAGCGUGGGGAGCGAACCGGAUUAGAUACCCGGGUAGUCCACGCCGCAACGAUGGACAUUAUGUGUAGGGGGUAUCGACCCCCUCUGUGCCGUAGCUAACGCAAUAAGUGUCCCGCCUGGGGAGUACGGCCGCAAGGCUAAAACUCAAAGGAAUUGACGGGGGCCCGCACAAGCAGCG